rnacentral:rRNA from 1 species
UACGGGAGGCAGCAGUGGGGAAUAUUGCACAAUGGGCGCAAGCCUGAUGCAGCCAUGCCGCGUGUAUGAAGAAGGCCUUCGGGUUGUAAAGUACUUUCAGUCGUGAGGAAGGUGUUAAGGUUAAUAACCUUAGCAAUUGACGUUAGCGACAGAAGAAGCACCGGCUAACUCCGUGCCAGCAGCCGCGGUAAUACGGAGGGUGCGAGCGUUAAUCGGAAUUACUGGGCGUAAAGGGCACGCAGGCGGUUAAUUAAGUUGGAUGUGAAAUCCCCGGGCUUAACCUGGGAAUGGCAUUCAAGACUGGUUAGCUAGAGUCUUGUAGAGGGGGUAGAAUUCCAUGUGUAGCGGUGAAAUGCGUAGAGAUGUGGAGGAAUACCGGUGGCGAAGGCGGCCCCUGGACAAAGGCCGACGCUCGAUGUGCGAAAGCGUGGGGAGCAAACAGGGAUUAGAUACC